rnacentral:rRNA from 1 species
AGAGUUUGAUCCUGGCUCAGGAUGAACGCUGGCGGCGUGCCUAAUACAUGCAAGUCGAACGCACUGUGGUUCAACUGAUUUGAAGAGCUUGCUCUGAUAUGACGAUGAACAUUGCAGUGAGUGGCGAACGGGUGAGUAACACGUGGGAAACCUACCUCUUAGCGGGGGAUAACAUCUGGAAACAGAUGCUAAUACCGCAUAACACUAGCAACCGCGUGGUUGCUACUUGAAAGAUGGUUCUGCUAUCACUAAGAGAUGGUCCCGCGGCGCAUUAGUUAGUUGGUGAGGUAAUGGCUCACCAAGACGAUGAUGCGUAGCCGAGUUGAGAGACUGAUCGGCCACAAUGGGACUGAGACACGGCCCAUACUCCUACGGGAGGCAGCAGUAGGGAAUCUUCCACAAUGGACGAAAGUCUGAUGGAGCAACGCCGCGUGUGUGAUGAAGGGUUUCGGCUCGUAAAACACUGUUGUAAGAGAAGAAUAGCAUCAAGAGUAACUGCUUGGUGUGUGACGGUAUCUUACCAGAAAGGAACGGCUAAAUACGUGCCAGCAGCCGCGGUAAUACGUAUGUUCCAAGCGUUAUCCGGAUUUAUUGGGCGUAAAGCGAGCGCAGACGGUUUUUUAAGUCCGAAGUGAAAGCCCACAGCUUAACUGUGGAAGUGCUUUGGAAACUGGAUGACUUGAGUGCAGUAGAGGAGAGUGGAAUUCCAUGUGUAGCGGUGAAAUGCGUAGAUAUAUGGGAGGAACACCAGUGGCGAAGCGGCUCUCUGGACUGUAACUGACGUUGAGGCUC